GCAAGCAAGAAUCACCCGGAAGAACAAGACUGCUGCAUAAAGACGCUAAAGGAGUUCUUAAAGAUGAACCGUUCCGGUUAACUUUUACCUACUUGUCAAGCGUAUACCACUUGCAAUACCAGGAUUCUGGAGCCUGAGACAGGAGAACUGAAGUCUGUUCAGUUGGCGAAGUGGUUAAGAGCACUUGCUACCAAGCAUGACAACCAGAAUUGCAUCCAUGCGACCCACUUCAUGAAAGAAGGGAAGUGACUCCAUCAAAUUGUCCUCUAGUCACAGCAUGACACGGAAGCACCCACCUAAAAGGAGGGCACAGAAGAAAACAUCCCUCUCGUGGCUCGCCUACAGCACUGGGCAACUUCAGUGUGAUGCCUGUUGUUAACAGCCCAUAAGCCUGUCUGCCCGGGAUCCAUAAGGACCUCCUGGAAACCAGCACACCUUGUUUGCUGAGUCAAGCUGCCCUGUGAGCACCCCCUCCCAUACUCUGCGGUCUACAGUGAAGUGUCCUGAGAAGUCAGACUGAGCCAGAAGCAAUGACCAGAGACGUCCUUGAGUUAAAGCCCCAAGGACAGUCGCCUGGCCCUGAGAGCUCUUGAGCGGAACGUCAGUCUUCCAGUCAGGUGGUGGAACAACGCAGAAUGAAAAAUUCCAUUCCUCACAGAGGCAAAAGCCAGUGUUUGCAAGGACACUGGGAGCAAGGGAGCCUAGAGCUCUGAGGAGAAAUGGAAGAGCUUUCGAGUGAAUGUUCAAGGUAGCGCACCUCUGCAUCUAGAGAAGCCUCCUGGCUUCUGGUCCUCUAAAGCAGACUGAUGCCCCACCUAACA